GAUGAACGCUGGCGGCGUGCCUAAUACAUGCAAGUCGAGCGAACAGACGAGGAGCUUGCUCCUUCGACGUUAGCGGCGGACGGGUGAGUAACACGUAGGUAACCUACCUAUAAGACUGGGAUAACUUCGGGAAACCGGAGCUAAUACCGGAUAAUAUUUCGAACCGCAUGGUUCGAUAGUGAAAGAUGGCUUUGCUAUCACUUAUAGAUGGACCUGCGCCGUAUUAGCUAGUUGGUAAGGUAACGGCUUACCAAGGCAACGAUACGUAGCCGACCUGAGAGGGUGAUCGGCCACACUGGAACUGAGACACGGUCCAGACUCCUACGGGAGGCAGCAGCAGGGAAUCUUCCGCAAUGGGCGAAAGCCUGACGGAGCAACGCCGCGUGAGUGAUGAAGGUCUUCGGAUCGUAAAACUCUGUUAUUAGGGAAGAACAAACGUGUAAGUAACUGUGCACGUCUUGACGGUACCUAAUCAGAAAGCCACGGCUAACUACGUG
rnacentral:rRNA from 1 species